AGCGGGGUAGGGCAGUGUGCCCGAUGGGCUCAUAACCCAUAGGUCGUUGGUUCAAAUCCAGCCCCCGCUA
rnacentral:tRNA from 1 species